GUGAAUCACAAAUCUGUAAUAUCUGUGGUAUAGAAAACCCUGAAUAUUUUACAGCAGGUGAUUUGAAGGGAGCUUUUUGUUUUACUGGAUAAGAUAAGGAUGCUUCCAAGGCCAGGCUUUCCAGUGAUUUGUCCAAUGGCUGUGAAGAAAAGCCCUCCAAAAUAAGGCUUCCUGCUUCAUCGUGCACCUGCCUCCUUGAAAGAAAACAAGACAUCAGAUACUUAUUCAAAUAAUGCAAUAGCUGAUCAGCAGAGUAUCUACACAAUGUCUGCUGGAAUAAAAUCACCAAGUACUCUCAGGAUUGCUGUAUCUGCUCCUGGAAAUACAUUGCAAUAAACAACUGGG
rnacentral:lncRNA from 1 species